rnacentral:rRNA from 1 species
AGAGUUUGNNCCNNNCUCNGAUUGAACGCUGGCGGCAUGCCUAACACAUGCAAGUCGAACGGUAACAGGCCCUUCGGGGUGCUGACGAGUGGCGAACGGGUGAGUAAUGCGUAGGAAUCUACCCAGUAGUGGGGGAUAACCCGGGGAAACUCGGGCUAAUACCGCAUACGCUCUACGGAGGAAAGCGGGGGACCGAAAGGCCUCGCGCUAUUGGAUGAGCCUACGUCGGAUUAGCUAGUUGGUGGGGUAAUGGCCUACCAAGGCGACGAUCCGUAGCUGGUCUGAGAGGACGAUCAGCCACACUGGGACUGAGACACGGCCCAGACUCCUACGGGAGGCAGCAGUGGGGAAUAUCGGACAAUGGGCGAAAGCCUGAUCCAGCAAUGCCGCGUGUGUGAAGAAGGCCUGCGGGUUGUAAAGCACUUUCGGUGGGGAAGAAAAGCUCGGGGCUAAUACCUCCGGGCCUUGACGUUACCCACAGAAGAAGCACCGGCUAACUCCGUGCCAGCAGCCGCGGUAAUACGGAGGGUGCGAGCGUUAAUCGGAAUUACUGGGCGUAAAGCGCACGCAGGUGGCUAUGCAAGUCGGAUGUGAAAGCCCCGGGCUUAACCUGGGAACUGCAUUCGAUACUGCAUAGCUAGAGUAUGGGAGAGGGAAGUGGAAUUCCCGGUGUAGCGGUGAAAUGCGUANAUAUCGGGAGGAACACCAGUGGCGAANGCGGCUUCCUGGNCCANUACUGACACUCAUGUGCGACAGCGNGGGGAGCAAACANGGAUUANAUACCCUGGUAGUCCACGCCGUANACGAUGAGAACUAGAUGUCGGANGGGAUUAGCCCUUCGGUGNCGNNNCUAANGCGUUAANGUNCUCCGCCUGGGGAGUACGGCCGCAAGGUUNNAANCUCAAANGNANUUGACGGGGACCCGC